ACUUUUAUCACCCAAAUUUUAGUCCAUCACCCACAUAGAAAACAUCGAAAAGAUCUCUCCUCUAUCCAUCAAUUCAUGUUCUUCAUACACAUAGAAAACAUCAAAAAGAUUCAUCCGCAGAAAGCAAAUUUUUGAGUGGUCAAAAAUCAAGAAAUCGAGCAUGUUACUUCUUGUCUGAAGUUCCUGUCCCCCAAAAUGCCAGCCAAUAAAGACCAAUAUCAUGUUGUCAUGUGCUUUAUAAGAUCAUCUCAAAAGCUGAUAUGUUCAAGACUGAAAGAAGUAUUUGGAUGCUUGGAAGCUGAGAAUGAAGCCGCAUUUGUACUUCAAAAUAUCACAUAUCCAUGAAGAAUAUAAUUCUUACCUCAAAAUACUUUAUUUUACUGUAUUGUAUUAUAUCAAGAAAAUUGUACACUUCUUAUUGAUUUUUUUUUUAAAAUACAUGCAAUUUUAUAGAGUUUAUCUUUAAAUGUUUAUUAUUUUAUCAACAGUUUAUAUUAUUCUAAUAAAUCAUAUAAAUUAUUGAAUUACUAAA